rnacentral:rRNA from 1 species
AAAACUUUGCGCUGAUAGAAGAGCCUAUGUAGGAUUAGGUAGUUGGUAUUUUGGGUAAAAGCCUACCAAGCCUAAGAUCCUUAGCUGUUCUGAGAGGUUGAACAGCCACACUGGGACUGAGACAAGGCCCAGGCUCCAUUUGGAGCCAGCAGUGAGGAAUUUUGGACAAUGAGCGAAAGCUUGAUCCAGCAAUACUACAUGAGUGAAGAAGGCUUUCAAGUUGUAACACUCUUUGGUUGAGGAGGAUAAUGACAGUACUCAACAAAAUAGCCCCGGCUAACUUCGUGCCAGCAGCCGCGGUAAGACGAAGGGGGCGAGCGUUAUCCGGAAUGACUGGGCGUAAAGGGUCCGUAGGCAGCAUUUUUUGUUGGAAGUUAAAUAAAAAAGCUUAACUUUUUUCCGCUUCUAAAACGUAAAUGCUUUGAGUUUGAUAGAAGAUAGCAGAAUUUCACAAGGAGGGGUGAUAUCCAGAGAUCUGUGAAGGAAUAUCAGAUGCGAAGGCGGCUAUCUAGAUCAACACUGACGUUGAGGGACUAAAGCAUGGGGAGCAAACAGGAUUAGAUACCCUGGUAGUCCAUGCCCUAAAAGAUGAGUGUUCGUGCUUAGAGAACUUUAGGCACUUAGUUAACACGUUAAACACUCCGCCUGGAGAGUACGAUCGCAAGGUUGGAACUCAAAGGAAUUGACGGGGGCCUAUACAAGUGGUGGAGCAUGUGGUUUAAUGCGAUAAUACGCGCGAAACCUUACCAGUUCUUGACAUAAAAAAGAAAAAGUUUGAAAAAGCAAUUUUAAAGAUUUUUACAGGUGCUGCAUGGCUGUCGUAAGCUCGUGUCGUGAGAUGUUAGGUUAACUCCUUUUAACGGGCGAAACCCCUUUUUUUCGUUGCUACUUAAUUUUAUUUUUAAAGCACUCUAAAAAAACUGCUCCCUUUUUUUAAUUCGGAGAGGAAGGUGGGGAUGACGUCAAGUCCUUAUGGCCCUUAUGAACUGGGCUACACACGUGCUACAAUGGUAAAGACAAUAAGAAGUGAUAGGGUAACCUAAAACCAACCUUUAAACUUUAUCAAAGUUCGGAUUGUGGACUGCAACUCGUCCAUAUGAAGGUGGAAUCACUAGUAAUCGCACAUCAGCAUGUUGCGGUGAAUUUGUACCUAGGCCUUGUACGCACCGCCCGUCACGUGCCGGGAGUUGGC